rnacentral:rRNA from 1 species
UACGUAGGUGGCAAGCGUUGUCCGGAUUUACUGGGCGUAAAGAGCGCGCAGGCGGCCAAGUCAGUCGAAUGUGAAAGCCCCCGGCCUAACUGGGGAGGGUCAUUCGAUACUGCUUGGCUCGAAGACAGGAGAGGGAAGCGGAAUUCCCGGUGUAGUGGUGAAAUGCGUAGAUAUCGGGAGGAACACCAGUGGCGAAGGCGGCUUUCUGGCCUGUUCUUGACGCUGAGGCGCGAAAGCUAGGGGAGCAAACGGG